rnacentral:rRNA from 1 species
CCUGGAGCCGUAGCGAAAGCGAGUCUGAAUAGGGCGACUAUAGUUGGUAGUGUUAGACGCGAAACCGUGUGAUCUACCCUUGGGCAGGUUGAAGCUGUGGUAACACAUAGUGGAGGACCGAACCCGUUGACGUUGAAAAGUCUUGGGAUGACCUGAGGGUAGGGGUGAAAGGCCAAUCAAACUCGGAAAUAGCUCGUACUCCCCGAAAUGCAUUUAGGUGCAGCGAUUAAUUAGUUUUAUAGAGGUAGAGCUACUGAUUGGAUGCGGGGGCUUCACCGCCUACCAAUUCCUGACAAACUCCGAAUGCUAUAAAAUGAUGUUGAUCAGUGAGGGCAUGGGUGCUAAGGUCCAUGUCCGAGAGGGAAAGAACCCAGACCAUCAGCUAAGGUCCCCAAAUGUAUGUUAAGUUGAAAAAACGCGGUUGAACUGCUUAGACAGCUAGGAUGUUGGCUUGGAAGCAGCCAUUCAUUUAAAGAGUGCGUAACAGCUCACUAGUCGAGCGGUUCGGCAUGGAUAAUAAUCGGGCAUAAACAUACUACCGAAGCUAUGGAUUUAUAACAUUAGUUAUAAGUGGUAGGGGAGCAUUGUAACAGCGUAGAAGGUGUAUCCGCGAGGUAUGCUGGAGCGGUUACAAAAGAAAAUGUAGGCAUAAGUAACGAUAAUGCGGGCGAGAAACCCGCACACCGAAAGACUAAGGUUUCCUCAGCUAUGCUAAUCAGCUGAGGGUUAGUCGGGGCCUAAGGCGAACCCGAAAGGGGUAGUCGAUGGACAACCAGUUAAUAUUCUGGUACCUGCUUUGCGUUAAAAGUGACGGAGGCGAGAAUUAGGUGCGCACUGACGGAAUAGUGCGUUGAAGGAUGUGGUAACACUCCGAUAGUACACCAAAGCUUCGGCGGCGGUGAUAAUCCUGAAUAUCGACUUCCAAGAAAAGCGAGCAAAAGCAGCCCGUACCGCAAACCGACACAGGUAGUUGGGAUGAGAAUUCUAAGGUGCUCGAGAGAUUCAUGGCUAAGGAACUAGGCAAAAUUGACCCGUAACUUCGGGAGAAGGGUCGCCCAUCCAUUGGAUGGGCCGCAGUGAAGAGGUCCAGGCGACUGUUUAUCAAAAACACAGGGCUCUGCUAAAUCGAAAGAUGAUGUAUAGGGCCUGACACCUGCCCGGUGCUGGAAGGUUAAGAGGAGAUGUUAGCUUCGGCGACGCAUUGAAUUGAAGCCCCAGUAAACGGCGGCCGUAACUAUAACGGUCCUAAGGUAGCGAAAUUCCUUGUCGGGUAAGUUCCGACCUGCACGAAUGGUGCAACGAUCUGGACACUGUCUCAGCCAUGAGCUCGGUGAAAUUGUAGUAUCGGUGAAGAUGCCGAUUACCCGCUGUGGGACGAAAAGACCCCGUGAACCUUUACUAUAGCUUAGUAUUGACUUUGGACAAGUGAUGUGUAGGAUAGGUGGGAGACAUUGAAGCGGUAUCGCCAGGUAUCGUGGAGUCAUUGUUGAAAUACCACCCUUUACUUGUUUGAAGCCUAACUUCCAUUGGAAGGACAGUGCUUGGUGGGUAGUUUGACUGGGGUGGUCGCCUCCAAAAGAGUAACGGAGGCUUCUAAAGGUUCCCUCAGCACGCUUGGUAACCGUGCGUAGAGUGCAAUGGCAUAAGGGAGCUUGACUGAGAGACAUACAGGUCGAUCAGGUACGAAAGUAGAGCAUAGUGAUCCGGUGGUUCCGCAUGGAAGGGCCAUCGCUCAAAGGAUAAAAGGUACUCCGGGGAUAACAGGCUGAUCUCCCCCAAGAGCUCACAUCGACGGGGGGGUUUGGCACCUCGAUGUCGGCUCGUCACAUCCUGGGGCUGGAGAAGGUCCCAAGGGUUGGGCUGUUCGCCCAUUAAAGUGGCACGCGAGCUGGGUUCAGAACGUCGUGAGACAGUUCGGUCUCUAUCUACAGUGGGCGUUAGAAAUUUGAGUGGAUCUGACUCUAGUACGAGAGGACCGAGUUGGACUGACCUCUGGUGUACCAGUUGUUCCGCCAGGAGCACUGCUGGGUAGCUACGUCGGGAAGGGAUAAGCGCUGAAAGCAUAUAAGCGCGAAACCCACCACAAGAUGAGAUUUCUUUUAAGGAUCGUGGGAGACUACCACGUUGAUAGGUCACAGGUGUAAAGGCAGUAAUGUCAUAGCCGAGUGAUACUAAUAAUCCGUAUAGCUUAGUGCA